rnacentral:lncRNA from 1 species
UUGUUUGUUAUUAUUUCAAACUCGGUAAUCCACUUCAUCAAUUCGUUUUGAUAUUUGGAUUAAGAUUUUCAAAAAUAAUAAGUAAAUUUAAAAUUUGGUUAACAAUAAAUGUUGGGGGAAGAGAGUUCCUUGUGUAUAUAUCUCUUGUAUUGAUUUGAGAGGGCUUAACAAGCGAUGGUUGUUCCAUCAUGAUAGCAAGCUUUAGGCGCUUGUGGUGAAGGUGCGUCUAAUGAGAUGAUGCUCAAGGAUGACGUGCAGAGGUAAUAUAAUAAUUGUCCUCUCUCUCCCAGUUGUGGAGAUGUUAUAAAGUGACCUUCGAAACGACGGAAGAGUCCAGAAGGGAGGUUAGUAAAUUUUAAGAACACCUUCAAAGUUUUGUAUGUUAUCUUUUAGGCUUAUAAAUUUUAAGAACGUUGUGUUUUCCUACUCACUUCAUACUUGGUUUCAUUUUCUAUUUCUUCUUCCUUCUCUGUUCUGUAGUGAUUAAGAGCUUAGGUUGCUUUUGUUUGAUCUAGUAAGUUUCUUUUCUUCUUUCAUCCUACUCUUUUUUUUUUGUUUUCUUUUUAUUAAUCUGAGGUUUAUAGUUGGAGAACAUGUUUCCAAACAUAAGAGGACUAUAAUACCCAAAAAAAAAAUUAUAAGAUAUGUGACACUAUUCCAAGAUUGGAUACAAUGAAUUUGUGAGAAAUUAGAAAAUGAGCUAGAUAAAGAAUUUUGUGAAAGGAAUAAUUGAUAUUGGAGAUGGAACUAAAGGAAAUGUAAUGCGGACGUGGAAAUGUGACAAAAAAGACUAAAUUACAAACUCUAAAAAGUUUAAGGACUAAAGUGAAAAUUUGACCAAAAUGUGAAAUGUGAGUUAGUAUUGAUCCAUUGAGAUAAGAAUGAGUUGAAAUAUGUAUGAUUAAAUCGCUUUUGAGACCAAAUUAGAAAUAUUGUAAAGAACAAUGACUGAAUUAUAAAUUUCUUGUUUUUGUCGAGAAAUGGGUAAAAGUGUAGGUUUCACCAUCCAUGAAUUUUUUUUAAAGGUUAUAUGUGAAUUACAAUAUUUCAAUAUGAUAAGUGCCUAUUUUUGUGAAAAAUUGUGCAAAGUGAUUAAAAGGUGUAAAAUGAUAAUUUUGCCACGUAAAGGCAUUUGAUCAUUUCUCAAGAAUUAAAUAUUAGAAAUAUUGUUUGAAUGAGAUAUUUAAUAUUGAAAAUAAUAAUGUCCAAUUGGAUGUGAUCAUUUUGGUGAGAUGAACUGUGGACCACACAAAUUUGACAUAAGCUUUGAACAACUUUGACCAUGAGACUUUUUUUCGUUUUGUGGAAAAAAGAGGCUAGCAACCAAUAUGAUACAAAAGCAAAGCUUUAAACAGCUAUAUUUCUAUGCAAGAUUGAAGCAUCAUCAUGCAACACCUCUAAGAUUGCAGUAGAAAGGUCAAGAAGAAUUUGUAACCCUUGUUUGUCUCUUAACGCUAGUUUAGCCAGAAGAUCAACUACCAAAUUUCCCUCCUUUAGAUCAUUUUGCAUAAGUUCUCAACUAUUACAAACAAGUUGAAACUAAUCGUAUCAUCAUCUUGAUGAAUUAGGGAGUUAACAAUUUGAAGGUAUCACAUUCCAUCAUUAUUUGUCAAUACCCUUUAUCCCAAGCAAUCUAUAGUCCAUCCAAAAUAGCAUAAAGUUCCACUUCAUGAAUGUACACUAGUGAAUCUGCUAUAGCCAAUUUCCCAUUUACCCAACUCGUUCCUUAUCAAUCUAGAAGUCGUGGAUCUAAAACUACUUGCAGACACAACACAAUCCGUAUUGAGUUUGACCCACUUAGAAAUAAGUGAGGACUAGAUUGAAGCCUUUCCUCCCAUGCUAUGCAUAGGUCGUUCUUGAGCCCCAUUUAUCCACUAAAUUUUUUGUCUAGCUAAUUCUCCAUGAAACGAAACUAUUGGAAUCUUGACCAGCACGUUCAAACAAAAUUAGGUUUAUUCUUUUCCAUAAGUUCCAACGAAGGACUCCAAAAAGUAUGAAGCAAAGCAUUAAGGCCCAAAAAGGGGAUUGUAAUAGCCGGUUUUUCAAGGGUAUUAGAAAUGGUGGUUUUGAAACCCUGUUCUCUAAUGAUUGAGUAAAUAUUAUUGAUUAAUAUUUAUGAGUUAAUUAUGGUAUUAUAUUAAAUUUUAUUUUGACGAAUUUCUUAAUUGACAAAUUAAUUACGAUACAAAUGUUUUGACCCUAAAGUUAGUGGUGUUAGAAAAUCAGGUAUUAAGACCUUGUUUCCGUAAACCAAGCUCGUAAUAUUUUUAUUAAAUAUUUAUAGAGUUAUUGUAUAGGUGAAUUGAAUUUUGGAUAGACAUGCCGAAUUAGUGACUAAUUAUCGUAUAAGGACUAAAUUGUAAAUGUGGUAAAAGUCAAUUGCUAUUGAUUUUUAUUAGUUAAAAAGCUUAAUUAGUGAUUGUUUAAGGAUUUAUGUGGCAAUUAGCCCAAAUUUAUAUGGGGUGACAGGUUACUGUGUAAUUUAAUAAAAUAUAUGUUGUUAAUUAAGAUAAAAUUUAGUAAUAAUAAUAUACUAAAACAUGAAAAUGGUGUCAUCUUCAACCAUUUUUCCUUCCACCGUUUGAAAAUGAGAAAAAAUGAUACGGAAGCCAUUUUUGAACAUUUCUAAGCUUUUGACCCUUGCAUGUAUGUACAUUCGAGGCCCAUUUUUCGUAAAUUUUAUGUUUUUGAGGUCCUAAGAUCUUGAUUUAGCUAGCAUGGGGUACUAUAUCGUGAAACUGUUAAAGUUUUGAAAUGUUACCAUUGAUGGUUCUUGAAGCUUUUAGUACUAAAUCAAAAGUUUAAAUAGUGAUGUAAACUUGAAUUACAUAUAUGAUUGGCUUAGUGUGUAUGAAUUAGGUAUAAUAGUUGAAAUGGUUGAAAUGAGACAUAUAUUCAAUUGAUUCAGGUUGUGAUUAUUUGGUACCAUUUGGACCUUUUGGAAACAGUGAAUGACAUCACGACAUCAAGCUUUCAACUCGCGAUUAGGACAAGUCAGUGAGUUACAUCACGACCUGGAACCCCUGAAGUCGCGACAUCAACCCAAUAGUUUGAAAAUUUUACAAUUUGGUCCUUAUUUGACCUCGAGUUAUCUAAAAAGAAUUUGUAAACUUGUAUAAGUCUUGUAUGUGAUUGUAUAACAGAAAGGAACGAUGUUUUGAACAUAAUAAUAUUUACUAAUUG